rnacentral:rRNA from 1 species
ACACGACUACAUUAGAUACCCCCGGUAGUCCUAGCCGUAAACGAUACUCGCUAGGUGUCGGCCACGGUGCGACCGUUGUCGGUGCCGUAGGGAAGCCGUGAAGCGAGCCACCUGGGAAGUACGGCCGCAAGGCUGAAACUUAAAGGAAUUGGCGGGGGAGCACCACAACGGGUGGAGCUUGCGGUUUAAUUGGAUUCAACGCCGGAAAUCUUACCGGGACCGACAGCAACAUGAAGGCCAGGCUGAAGACUUUGCCGGAUUAGCUG